CACAGCACUGUUAGAAUAAUAUCUCCUUUUUCUUGUCGUUGUGGUGCAGACAUGUGAAGUUAGUAUGAUGGUGACCAUCCAGGGAUCCGCUGCAGGGAAUUGUCUCUUCCUUCCUUACAAUAACUUGAGGUGCCGCAUUGUCACCAGUAAUCAGCUUAAAAGACCUUUGGUGGCACCUCUGGAAGAGCUGCUGAACAACAGAGCGUCCGACUUCCUGGAAGGUAACCAGCAGCAUGAUGAGCUUCCUUCUAACAGUCUGAUCAAACAUCUUUAACUGGUUUCUUUUGUUAUGUUGGUUCAGUGACGGAGUUGAGCUUCCUCUACCUCAUGGACUGAUCUUCACUGAUCCCUUGCUCCAGUAUCAGGACGGCUUCGUGGUGGUUGGAGGGAACCUGAACCUGACUCCCGCUGGGAGGCAGAGGGUGUUGAAUGGAGAUAAUGCCGGCAGAUAAGCGUUCUUCACGUCUGGAACCAGAGUUUAAACAGAAACAAAGCUUCAGAACAGUUUCAUGUUUGUCUGCAAUAAAAGCCUCAGCAUCAGA